AUUUGCAGUUCUUUUUUUUUAAACCUAAAGGAAUUCUGAAAUUUCGUACAAAUGUUUGUUUAGUUGUACUAUAAUUGUACAUUGUUUUCAGCAGAACCAAGAAAAUAUCUCCCUCCACUUCUCUUAAAAUUGAGUGAGAGACCACCAGAGCAUCUGCAGUACCUUGGAGUGUCAUUUGGGCUCACAGCAACUCUCCUUAAAUUCUGGAAAAGAGCAGAGUUUGUACCAGUUUAUUUGAGGCAAUUGUUCUUGGCCUAGGCCUGCAAUACAAAACUGUGUAUAAUUCUGCAUCAGAGUUGGAGCUACCAACAUUACAACUCUUGGGCCUCUUCAACUGAACAAUUCGUCAACGUGUUCAGUAUCUAAGAGGCAUUCUGGAACACUCCAUAGAACUGGGUCUAGUCCGAUCAAGAACUGAUGUCACAUUGAACCCCAUUGCCGAGAGCAUGCAUGAUGAGUUAGAGAAGGCAAAAAAAGGAACUGAAGCUCAAACAACAACAGGAACUGAAAAAACUCAAGUCAAUAUGCAAUUAAAGGUUCAGAAGAAGAAUGGUUACAAGCACUGGGUUCAUCAGGAAAGAAGCAGAAAAAUAUUAUUUCUGUCAACAACAAAAAAUCUACAUUAUUGAUUUACCUCCUGUGAUCUCGUAUGCAAGAUUAGUCGAUUAUUAUUUUUACAUAGUUCCCUUGAAAUAUAAGUAGGUGUUUCACUUUACCUUUUAUGGUUUUUAGUUACAUAAACAACAUAUGUUCAUUAAGUAACAUGGAAUACUUACAUUGUAAGAAAAUAAUGGUUUUGAGUUUUCAGUGGUGAGAAGCGGCCAACUAACGAAGAACUGUUUGAGAAACCUUCCAAAAAGAAAAGGCACAAGAAGAAACCUGAUCAUUAAUGUUUAUCUAGUCACAUCUUGAUUUUCACAAAUGAAUAAGUAAAGUGAAUACAAGUCACAUGUGUAUAUAAGCUGGACUUGAUUUUAAGAAGUAAAUAAAAUUAAUGUCUCAUUUAUAAGUAGCA